rnacentral:rRNA from 1 species
GACGAACGCUGGCGGCGUGCUUAAUACAUGCAAGUCGAACGGAAAGGCCCUGCUUUUGUGGGGUGCUCGAGUGGCGAACGGGUGAGUAACACGUGAGUAACCUGCCCUUGACUUUGGGAUAACUUCAGGAAACUGGGGCUAAUACCGGAUAGGAGCUCCUGCUGCAUGGUGGGGGUUGGAAAGUUUCGGUGGUUGGGGAUGGACUCGCGGCUUAUCAGCUUGUUUGUGGGGUAGUGGCAUACCAAGGCUUCGACGGGUAGCCGGCCUGAGAGCGUUACCGGGCACAUUGGGACUGAGAUACGGACCAGAAGGCUACGGGAGGCAGCAGUGGAAAAUAUUGCAGAAUGGGGGGGAGCGUGAGGCAGAAACGCCGCGAGCGGGAUGACGGGCUUCGAGUUAUAAACAGCUGUGGACUGUGACGAAGCGUGCGUGACGGUAACGGGUAAAGAAGCACCGGCUAACUACGUG